rnacentral:rRNA from 1 species
CGCCUCGCCCGCCGCGCGCGGCGGGCGGGGCGGGGGCACGGGGGGCCUACGGGAGGCAGCAGUGGGGAAUAUUGGACAAUGGGCGAAAGCCUGAUCCAGCCAUGCCGCGUGUGUGAAGAAGGUCUUCGGAUUGUAAAGCACUUUAAGUUGGGAGGAAGGGCAGUAAGUUAAUACCUUGCUGUUUUGACGUUACCAACAGAAUAAGCACCGACC